UGCUUCUACCUCCUCGCUCUUCUCUUCUUCGCACAUUGCUCCUUGAGGCCCUGCACGGCACACACAUUCUCAGACUUUACUGUGGGAUUGGUUGGUGUGCAAGAGCCUGUCUGUUACAUUCUGUUCGCGCUCUGCAGGUUUCAUUUAUUUCACAUCCAAAUUCUACAGUCAACACUUAGGAAAAUCAAGAUGCGUUGGCCAUUCCUGAUGUUCUCCCUUGUUGUAAUACUGCUGCUGCUGCCUGCAAUGGGUAGCAGCUCGAGUCCUAACGGGUACUACUACAGCUCAAACAACAAACAGUCGGACACGGCUGAUUGCAUUUAUCGCUGUUCCGUCAAGGAUAAGAACGGCCAAUGCAAGGUGGACUUGAGGUGUAUGAUGACCCGCAGGCGGCCGAUACGCUACCAUCUGGGCUAUAAUUUAUAGGGGAUGCCUGCCACGGCGUGUAGUUCACUCUUUUUUAUUUAAAUAUUCUUUAUAUUUAUAAAAAAAAUGUAUUGUGUUGUUGUCGUCAUUGCCCGUGAUGCUAUGAACUGCUCUCAUGUCAAAUAAAUGUUAAUUUUU